rnacentral:rRNA from 1 species
ACUCCUACGGGAGGCAGCAGUAGGGAAUCUUCCGCAAUGGACGAAAGUCUGACGGAGCAACGCCGCGUGAGUGAAGAAGGUUUUCGGAUCGUAAAACUCUGUUGUUAGAGAAGAACAAGGAUGAGAGUAACUGCUCGUCCCUUGACGGUUCUANCCAGAAAGCCAUGGCUAACUAC